rnacentral:lncRNA from 1 species
CAUGGUGUUACCUAAGCCUACCUAGAUACAACAUCAGUAUCUGACCAAAUGUAUUUGAGGCCCAUCCCUUUCUUCAUCUUUUUCCCUGAUGGGUGGUAUAAAAGAAUAGUCAACACAGCAUGUCAAUAAAAGGGAAUGGCAAAGCAAUAAAAUGCCACAACUAGGCUCAGAAAAACCAUAAAGCUGUCAUGUGUUCAUCUUUACAAACCAAUUUGGUCCUGGUCAUUUUACUGUAUUCCUACUUCACUUAUACCGUAUCCUCUUCUCUGUUUCCCUCCUCGUGUCAGCUGCAGGGACAGUUUCAUCUAAAUGGAAUGAACAAGGUUGGAGAUAUCAUUCUGGGGGGACUGUUUCCAGUUCACUUUUUCUCAAGUGUUCCUCAUCCAUCUUUUACCUCAGAGCCACAACAGCCUACUUGCCAUAGGUGAGUUAUUUUGCCACAUGUUCUUGUUUGAGUGACCAUCGAAAAUAUCCAUCCUUCUUUAGGACAAUCCCAAGUGAUGCUUUCCAGGUAAAAUUCAAUCAGCAGAAUUAUUACAAUUGCCAGUAGAUGAUAAGUAGCUAAUCCAUUGAAAGUUUUCUUAUUAUCUAUGCUCUCAUGUUUUCUCAUGUUUCUCAUUUUGCUUUCACUUAGGUUCGUGCUAUAAUUAAAAUUUUAAAACAUUUCGACUGGACUUGGGCAGGUCUGCUUAUCAGUGAUGAUGAUUAUGGACUCCACGCUGCCAGAUCCUUACAAUUCGAGCUAAGUUUGUCUGGUGAAGGUUGCCUAGACUACAUUGAAGUUUUGCCUUGGGACAAAGACACAGAUGAGCUCAGGAGGAUUGUGAAUGUGAUGAAAAAAUCAACAGCUCGUGUGGUCAUUGCCUUUGUACAUGAGAGUCACAUGAUAAACCUUAUAGAAGAGGUAAAGUUUAAAAAAAAAACUUGAUUAUUUCUUGCUAUAAAGAUCUGUAUCUAUACACUGUGUAAAAGAUGUAUUAUGUCUUUAAUUGAAUGACUACAGAAACGUAAAGAAACCAUUUAUACCAAAUAGCAAUUUAUAGCAAAUACCUAAGUUGAAUGUCACAAAAGUAGGUGAUAGUUUCAUCACUUUUUGCAUUUGGUAAAAUAUAAUGCACAGGUAGUGAAGGAGAAUGUAACAGGUCUACAGUGGAUUGCCAGUGAAGGCUGGACAGCAACUGCUGGUGUGCUCCUAACACCUCAGUUCAUGCCAUACCUGGGUGGUACACUGGGCAUUGCUAUUCGUCGAGGAGAAAUACCAGGGCUCAGGGAUUUCCUAUUACAAAUACGUCCUGACCUACAUCACAAC